rnacentral:rRNA from 1 species
GAUGAACGCUGGCGGCGUGCCUAAUACAUGCAAGUCGAGCGAACAGACGAGGAUCUUGCUCCUCUGUCGUUAGCGGCGGACGGGUGAAUAACACGUGGAUAACCCACCUAUCAGACUGGGAUAACUUCGGGAAACCGGCUCUAAUACCAGAUAAUAUAUUGCACCGCAGGGUUCAAUAGUAAAAGACGGUUUUGCGGUAACUUAUCGAUGCAUCUGCGCCGCAUUAGCUAGUAGUUGAUGUAACGGCUUACCAAGGCAACGAUGCGUAGCCGACCUGAGAGGGGGGUCGCCCGCCGUGGAGCGUGACCACCCACAUGACGCCUACGGGAGGCACCAGUCGCGUACCUUCCGCAACAGUCGAAAGUAUGACGGAACGACGGCGCGCGAGAUAUAGCGGUCCUGCGAUCGUAAUACCCUGUUUUUAGGGAAGAACAACUGUGGAAGGUAACGUGCCCGGCUUGACGGUAACUAAUAAGAAAGCCCCGGCUAACUACGUG